CGCGUUCGUGAGCAUCAUGCGCGGGUGCAACAACAUGUGCGCGUUCUGCAUCGUGCCGUUCACGCGCGGGAGGGAGCGGUCGCGGCCGAGGGCGUCCAUCGUGGACGAGGUGAAGAGGCUGGUCGACGAGGGGAGGAAGGAGGUGGUGCUGCUGGGGCAAAACGUCAACUCGUACGCGGACGCUUCGGGCGCGUUCUAUCUCACACUGGUCCCCAUACGACCGCGUUCGCGUGGUGAACGCCGAUCCUUAAAGACUUUUCUUCCCAGCGGCGCAUCUCUUCGCCCAGGGUCCCUCGCGUUCAAUCCCCGCCCUCGACGCCAUUCAACUCCGCUUCUGACGCCUUUGAACUCCACCCCGAUAUCAUCGCUCGUACGGACCGUCGACCUCCAGACGGCGGGGUCGCGAUCGGGCUCAGAGCGGGCGCCGCUACUACCGGUGAAAGGGGAGACGCGACGUCGUCGUCGACCGCGACCGCGGAGGACGCGUUCGGGACGUACUACGCGAGAGGGUUCAAGUCCGUGUACAAGCCGGG
rnacentral:lncRNA from 1 species